rnacentral:lncRNA from 1 species
CCGCAAUUAUUUUCAUCAGUAUUUCUGCAAAACUCUCCAACAAACUCUAUCCGUAGGAGAAACAAGCGGAUUAAUGUAAAUUAUUUAUAUAUGUUUGUUUAAAUUACUAGUAAUUUAAACAAACAUAUAUAAAAUAGUAUUAAACUUAACCUGAGAUUUUUGCAACUGUAUUAAUGAAAGACAACGAUUUUUGCUUGGCAAUGAUAAAGAAAGAAGAAGUAAGCAUUGAUCUGAACUCUCUAGAGCUCGACAUAAAUAAAGAGUAA